GCCCCGGUAGCUCAGCCUGGUCGGAGCGCCCGCCUCGUAAGCGGGAGGUCCCGGGUUCGAAUCCCGGCCGGGGCU
rnacentral:tRNA from 1 species